rnacentral:rRNA from 1 species
UACGUAGGGUCCGAGCGUUGUCCGGAAUUAUUGGGCGUAAAGAGCUCGUAGGCGGUUUGUCGCGUCUGCUGUGAAAUCCCGAGGCUCAACCUCGGGCCUGCAGUGGGUACGGGCAGACUGGAGUGCGGUAGGGGAGAAUGGAAUUCCUGGUGUAGCGGUGGAAUGCGCAGAUAUCAGGAGGAACACCGGUGGCGAAGGCGGGUCUCUGGGCAACAACUGACGCUGAGGAGCGAAAGCGUGGGGAGCGAACAGG